GGAGAAAAUACUUCUGGAACACGGCCAUACAAUCUGGAAAACCCACAACAUCCUAGUGAUUCCAGCUGUGAAAACCUUCGACAAUACAUUUCUAAGGUAUUUGUGUAUAGGGCAAUGAUAUCCAUGGUGGCUAAUCAUGCACCCUUAGGAAUGGAUCUACCUUAUAUCUUACAAAUAAAGUCACUGCUGUCAUGAAUAUAACUGGGAAUCAGCUUCAAAAAAGGUUGCAGGAAAAAAAAUCAAAUUUGACAAGUGGUUCAAAGAUGAACCUCAUAUUGGAGACUAUGGGAUGACCUGAGGGAGGUUUCACUCCCUUAUGAAUUUUAAGCAGGGAAUAAAGAAUGGGGGAAUCAAAGUUCUUCUUAAUGAGAAUGUUAUCUGUUUUUUGAUCAAAGUACCCCAAAAGGAUGCCUUCAUUAACAGCUAUUUUGGUGAUAUUCCGAAUAUGUUGAGUAGGGCCCUGCGUAAUAAAAGUAGUCAUUAGAAAAUUGUCUUUGAAUUUUCCAGACAUUAAUCAUUCCUAUCCAUCGCAACAAGCCCUCCCCCUUUAUCAGUGGGCUUGAUGACAAUGCUUUUAUCUGUCAUGAGGUCUCUUAGUGCUUGCUGUUUCUCGUUGGAGAAGUUAUUUCUAAAAGAAGUAUAUCUAAGUUCUCUAUUUUUUUUAGUGACCACAUUAGAGAAAGUGGCUAAUGCAGGGAUAUCAAGUCCAGGAGUGAAGCUGGAACUUGGUUUAAAGGGGUGGAUCUCAAUAUGGGAACCUUUAAAGUAGCUCUUAAAUUUGAUAUUCCCAACUAGCUUAAAGAAAUCAAUAUGUGUUUGAAAGGUCUUAUUUAGGGGUUGGGAUAAAACCCAUACCCAAAUUUAAUACUUCCAACUGUGUGGCAGUUAGCAUCUUAGAUGACAAAUUAACUACUAAAUCUUGUGUUUGUUUGAUGCUCUGUUCAGGAAACUGUUGGUUAUUGUUUCUGUGGUUGUGGUUUACUGGGUGGAUCCUCACCAACAGAGAUAGAAGAGGACUCUGUACUGUCAACAUCAGUGGAACUGCCUGACUCCAAAUCUCUCCACCCAACUUGUUUUUUGGAACAACUCAUAGAUGUUUUUGAAAGCCAACUGUCAAAAUAACCUCUAAUAAUAUGAGGAAUCCCUAUUAAAUUUCCUCUUCUUAACACUUAGAUUGUUAAUUUCAGUCUCAAGGGCUUGCUUGCAUUUUAUUGUCAAAGUGAGUUUGCUGUAUAUCCCUUUUAGUCUUUUCCAAAGACUCCUCAAUAUUCUAAUCCAAUUUCCUAACUUCCUCAAUGGACUUCUCAAUUACAAGGACCAUAAGAUUGUGGGAGCACUUAUUAAGGAUAAAUAUCCAUUUAUUAGUAAAUUUUUCAUCCAUAGAAAACAAAGCAGGACACUUCUGGAUCCUCAACCCGAGUGGUAUUCUCUUGUUAAUGAUGUGGUACUUAAGCAUCUGUGCAUGCAGAGGAAACCUCAUUCUCUUUUUCUUAUUAAUGUUAAUUCCGCUCCAAUCAACAUUAUCCUCAGCUGGGCAAAUUUCACUAGUAUCCACGCUAUCAAGAAUUCAGCUACUCUCAGCAUCAGAAAAUGCCAUUCUAUCAUAAGUGGCUGCCGCCCCAGAAUGUGAUUCAACCAUGCUAUGAGGUUGGAGUAGGUGCUCACUGGUCAGUCUAAUAUAUAAACAUACACCUUAAUGGCUCCCAGUACACCAGUCUUUCUAUCUUCAAAUACAUUCAUUAAAGCUUUUAUGUGUGUGUCUAAAUUAUUCAACUUUUAUCACUCAAAAAAUGAUAAGCCUCCAGUUGUUACAACUGAUCUCCAGAUGACAGAGACCUGGAGAAAAUGGCUGCUUCGGAAGGUGGACUUUGCCCAUUGAAUUCUGUUCCCUCCCCAAACCCUGCCUUCCUUAUGUUUCACCCCUGAAUCUCCAGGUAUUUACCAAGGCAGAGCUGCCAACCCUAGAUCCCCCCCCCACCCAAGACCAUGGCCACUUUGCAUACACAGGUGACUGUUCCCACCUACUAAAUAUAGAUCAAAAUAGGCUCAUAUCUAAAAUGUACAAAUGUAUGUGCUGUCAAAAUAUUUUCUAUACUUCCUUAAACUCCUCAAUUCUGUAAAACAGGAGCUUGUAGCUAAGUUAUUAGCAAACACUGAUCCAAGUGUGACUUUGGCAGUUGCACCUUUUUUUGGCUAUGGCAUCUAAUUAACUUUUACUGUGUAAUCCCAUUUAUUUAUCAUUUUAUGUAUGUUUUGUAAAACUGAAUUCUGUAUAUAUGAAUUUCAGAUAUUAUGUUGUUUGCAAAUGUACCCUUUUCCGUUUGCUCAUGACUUGUUAGUCUAUGAGCAUCAAAUAAAGAAUGGAAUGGAAUUAUUUAUGACAUUGCAA